rnacentral:rRNA from 1 species
UGGGGAAUUUUGCACAAUGGGGGAAACCCUGAUGCAGCGACGCCGCGUGAUUUAGAAGGCCUUCGGGUUGUAAAAAUCUUUUCUAUGGGAAGAAAAUGACAGUACCAUAGGAAUAAGGACCGGCUAAUUACGUGCCAGCAGCCGCGGUAAUACGUAAGGUCCGAGCGUUGUCCGGAAUCAUUGGGCGUAAAGGGUACGUAGGCGGGUAAGCAAGUUAGAAGUGAAAUCCUAUAGCUCAACUAUAGUAAGCUUUUAAAACUGCUCAUCUUGAGGUAUGGAAGGGAAGGUGGAAUUCCUAGUGUAGCGGUGGAAUGCGCAGAUAUUAGGAGGAAUACCGGUGGCGAAGGCGACUUUCUGGCCAUAACCUGACGCUGAGGUACGAAAGCGUGGGUAGCAAACAGG